rnacentral:rRNA from 1 species
CCUACGGGAGGCAGCAGUGAGGAAUAUUGGUCAAUGGACGAGAGUCUGAACCAGCCAAGUAGCGUGAAGGAUGACUGCCCUAUGGGUUGUAAACUUCUUUUAUAUGGGAAUAAAAUGUUCCACGUGUGGGCUUUUGUAUGUACCCUAUGAAUAAGGAUCGGCUAACUCCGUGCCAGCAGCCGCGGUAAUACGGAGGAUCCGAGCGUUAUCCGGAUUUAUUGGGUUUAAAGGGUGCGUAGGUGGAUUGUUAAGUCAGUUGUGAAAGUUUGCGGCUCAACCGUAAAAUUGCCGUUGAAACUGGCAGUCUUGAGUACAGUAGAGGUGGGCGGAAUUCGUGGUGUAGCGGUGAAAUGCUUAGAUAUCACGAAGAACUCCGAUUGCGAAGGCAGCUCACUGGACUGCAACUGACACUGAGGCUCGAAAGUGUGGGUAUCAAACAGGAUUAGAUACCCCAGUAGUC